CCUACGGGUGGCAGCAGUGAGGAAUAUUGGUCAAUGGGCGAGAGCCUGAACCAGCCAAGUCGCGUGAAGGAUGAAGGAUCUAUGGUUUGUAAACUUCUUUUAUAUGGGAAUAAAGUGAGGAACGUGUUCCUUUUUGUAUGUACCAUAUGAAUAAGCAUCGGCUAACUACGUGCCAGCAGCCGCGGUAAUACGGAGGUGGCAAGCGUUGUCCGGAUUUAUUGGGUGUAAAGGGCGCGUAGCCGGGAUGGCAAGUCAGAUGUGAAAUCCCGCGGCUCAACCGCGGAACUGCAUUUGAAACUGGCUGUCUUGAGUAGCGGAGAGGUAGGCGGAAUUCGUGGUGUAGCGGUGAAAUGCGUAGAUAUUAGGAAGAACACCGAUGGCGAAGGCAGUCUGCUGGAGAGCAACUGACGGUGAGGCGCGAAAGCGUGGGUAUCGAACAGGAUUAGAUACCCCAGUAGUC
rnacentral:rRNA from 1 species